GUAGGUGAACCUGCGGAGGGAUCAUUAACGAGUGAGGGCCCCAGGCCCGACCUCCAACCCUCUGUCGACCAAGUCAAAACUGCCUCGGGGGCGACCCGGACGCCGACGCCGACGGGCCCCCGACGGAACAUUCAAACUCUGUCAUCCAUACGUCGGAGUCGAUUGUAAAUCAAUCAAAACUUUCAACAACGGAUCUCUUGGUUCUG
rnacentral:misc_RNA from 1 species